UAGGGAAAAAGAUGAUGCAAAGGUAAACAAGGAUGAAAAUAGGAAGAAGGGGAAAGCUAGAUUACAGGAAAAAGGAGAGAUAAAAAUGGGAACAUGGAAUGUGAGAAGCAUCAAUGGAAAAGAGGAAGAACUGGUAGAAGAUAUGAUAAGACAAAAAAUAGAAAUACUAGGAAUAACAGAAACGAAGAUGAAAGGAAAAAGUCUUAAGAAAAUACACAAAGGAUAUUGGUUACUUUGGGUAGGAGCGGAUACAAAAGA
rnacentral:lncRNA from 1 species